UACGUAGGGGGCAAGCGUUGUCCGGAAUCAUUGGGCGUAAAGAGCGUGUAGGCGGCCAGAUAAGUCCGCUGUGAAAUCUCGAGGCUCAACUUCGAGCUGUCGGUGGAAACUGUCUGGCUAGAGUCCGGAAGAGGAGAAUGGAAUUCCUGGUGUAGCGGUGAAAUGCGCAGAUAUCAGGAAGAACACCCGUGGCGAAGGCGGUUCUCUGGGACGGUACUGACGCUGAGACGCGAAAGCUAGGGGAGCGAACGGG
rnacentral:rRNA from 1 species